CAGCACCAAACGUAAAGUAAAUUUAAAGCGUGAACUAUCUCUGCGCUCCACCAUCAGCGUUACGCAACGCCAAACUUAAAGCAGCUUUGCCCGUGAGAUAGAAACGGAGUUCUCCUUUUUUUUUUCGUUGCACAAAACUAACAGGUGAGUAUUUUUUUUAUUCAGAGUUAUAUUGUUUUUAAAGUCUUAUUUUUCUCUCUCUUUUCUUUUGUAUUUCACCAGCGACACGACCCCA